rnacentral:rRNA from 1 species
AACGAACGCUGGCGGCAGGUCUAACACAUGCAAGUCGAGCGAGGACUUCGGUCCUAGCGGCGGACGGGUGAGUAACGCGUGGGAACGUGCCCUUUGCUUCGGAAUAGCCCUGGGAAACUGGGAGUAAUACCGGAUGAGCCCUUUGGGGGAAAGAUUUAUCGGCGAAGGAUCGGCCCGCGUUGGAUUAGGUAGUUGGUGGGGUAAUGGCCUACCAAGCCGACGAUCCAUAGCUGGUUUGAGAGGAUGAUCAGCCACACUGGGACUGAGACACGGCCCAGACUCCUACGGGAGGCAGCAGUGGGGAAUCUUAGACAAUGGGGGAAACCCUGAUCUAGCCAUGCCGCGUGAGCGAUGAAGGCCUUAGGGUUGUAAAGCUCUUUCAGCUGGGAAGAUAAUGACGGUACCAGCAGAAGAAGCCCCGGCUAACUCCGUG